rnacentral:rRNA from 1 species
UACAGAGGUCCCGAGCGUUGUUCGGAUUCAUUGGGCGUAAAGGGUGCGUAGGCGGUCUGCUAAGUUUGAUGUGAAAUCCCGGGGCUCAACCCUGGAAUGGCAUUGAAUACUGGCGGACUAGAGUACCGGAGAGGAAACUGGAAUUUACGGUGUAGCAGUGAAAUGCGUAGAGAUCGUAAGGAAGACCAGUGGCGAAGGCGAGUUUCUGGACGGUAACUGACGCUCAUGCACGAAAGCGUGGGGAGCAAACAGG